GCGUCGUUUCUUCCUCUCCAACUGUUUCCACAGUACUUUCAGUUUCUCUUCGUUUUGUUUUUCUUUUAUUUUUCUUGCUCCUCUUUCUACACACUGAAGUUGCUGUUGUUUCACAUUUACCUUUUAUUUAUUUGUAGUUUUUGAGGCAGGUUGGAGUGUAAAAAUGCAAUCUCGGCUCACCGCCGCCUCGACUUUCCAGGGCUCCCUCAGGCGAUCUUCCUAUCUCAGCCUUCGAAGUGGCUGAGACUACAGGAGUCACUUAAUUCUGUGAUGUCGAAGCUGAAGCGAGCCGUGAUCAUGCCUUGCCCUCCAGUCUGAGUGUUUCAGAAGGUGGAGUUUCGCUCUUAUUGCCCAGGCUGGAGUUCAGUGGCGCGACCUCAGCUCACCGCAACCUCUGCCGCCUGUGUUCAAGAGAUUUUCCAAUCUUCACCUUUUCGAGUAGCUGAAACCACAGGCAAACACCGCCAGGCCUGGCUUUUUUUUUUUUUUUUUUCAUAGAGACUAGGUAGCUCCAUAAUGGUCAGGCUGGUCUAGAACACCCAACCUGAGGCGUACCACCCAACUUGACCACCCAAAGUGCUGAGAUUAAAGGCGUGAGCCCCGCGUCCGGCCAUAACAUCUUAUCCUAUAGAAUCCAGAGAGGUUAGGUCUGUAGUCCCUGAGACCAGCCUUCCUUGGAUGAACUCCAAAGUGAUGGCUGAGGAUUAGGGAGUGUGGGGGGGGCUGGAAAGUCGGUCCACUAUUUUUGCUACCUAGGCCAUGACAUCCCCCGAACCCCAUCGCUUGCUCACCCUUUGAGAUUCCCCCCCUCCACCGCCUUGGUGGCAGAACUCUUACUUUCAUUUCUGUCUUUCUUCGUUUGUUGGGUUUCAGGACGGGGUUCAGGAAAGACGGUGUGCGUGGGGAGGGGGUGUAGGGUGGGGAUGGAGGGGAGCGUCCUAAGGGUCGAUGUAGUGUCAUGCCUCUUUCAUCACCACCACCGAAGAUGAAAGCAACAAUCAUCUAUAUACCACGUGUUUUCACCCAUAAAUGGGAACUAAAUAAUGAGAAUGCAUGUGAAGAACUAGGAGGAGGAGAGACACAGGAGCCUACUUGAGGGAGGAGGUGUGGAAGGACAGACAGCUUCAGGACAAAACAAAACGAGCAAAACACAAAAACUGUCGGGUACUGCGCUGAGAAUCCGGGUGAGGAAAUCAUCGGCAAACUGAACCCCCUACUCAGAAGUUUACCUAUGAAACAAUCUUGCACAUGUAUGCUUCGAAAAUAAAUAACAGGGAAGAAAGAGAGAGAGAGAGAAAGAGAGAGAGAGAAGUAAAAUAAAGCACCACCUCCUUGACCUGACUCAGGGGGUUUGGGGUCUUCUGGGGAAACGUUCUGAAACAAUGGAGUAUUUUGGUCUGUU